AUGCGGAUGGAGACAGACAGUCACGCAUGGAGACAGUCACGCACACACAUACAGUCACGCACACACACACUCACGCACACACACUCACGCACGCGCUCGGGGCAGGGAUGGGGACAGGGAGGGGGCGGGCGCAGACAGUUCAGUAACAGCGACGGGGGAGGGGAGGAAAGGAAGGAGGAGGCCUGCCUCACCCCCCCAUCCCCGCCCCCGCCCGGGGCGGGUCCCUCACAGCGGCGAGACAGGCAAGGGCCUCCCCACGCGUGCCGAGCUUGCCCCGCCCCACCGACUCUGCCCCCCAGCUCACGCACCUGGAGUCGGGACAGCGAGGAUCUGAGGAAGAGGAGAGCGACAAGCCCCAGAGGAGCAGCGGCGGCAGCAGAAGCAGAGGCGGCGGCGGCGGCGGCAAAGAGGCUCAGUGCGCAGCCGCAACUCCGCGGGAGAGCAACCCGGACGAGGUUCCGGGCAGAAACUAGCUCUGGCGUCUCAGUACGGCUUCCAUCGGGGUUCCGAGAUCACUGGCGGUGCCUAGUAAAGGUCAUUGGCCCUAGCCUCCGCCCCACACCCCCGACCAACACGCCGAUGGGACAGGCAGCUGUCCCCAUUCUUAUUCUGCACGCUGUAAAAGUGGUAUGGAAAGAGAAAGAGGCAUCAUCCCCAUUUUACAGGACUGUCAGAGGCUCAGCUCAUUAAAAUAUUACCGGGAACACUGAUGACAAUUACCAAGCCCUGAGUCUUCUCAGCUGCCAAAAUGUGCUUUUUCCAUGCAUAACAAAAACAGUAAGUUGAAAU
rnacentral:lncRNA from 1 species